GCAUGUGCUGUGAGCUCGAUGAGUAGGGCGGGACACGUGGUAUCCUGUCUGAAUAUGGGGGGACCAUCCUCCAAGGCUAAAUACUCCUGACUGACCGAUAGUGAACCAGUACCGUGAGGGAAAGGCGAAAAGAACCCCGGCGAGGGGAGUGAAAAAGAACCUGAAACCGUGUACGUACAAGCAGUGGGAGCACAGGUUUACCUGUGUGACUGCGUACCUUUUGUAUAAUGGGUCAGCGACUUAUAUUCUGUAGCAAGGUUAACCGCAUAGGGGAGCCGGAGGGAAACCGAGUCUUAACCGGGCGUUAAGUUGCAGGGUAUAGACCCGAAACCCGGUGAUCUAGCCAUGGGCAGGUUGAAGGUUGGGUAACACUAACUGGAGGACCGAACCGACUAAUGUUGAAAAAUUAGCGGAUGACCUGUGGCUGGGGGUGAAAGGCCAAUCAAACCGGGAGAUAGCUGGUUCUCCCCGAAAGCUAUUUAGGUAGCGCCUCGUGAAUUCAUCUCCGGGGGUAGAGCACUGUUUCGGCUAGGGGGCCAUCCCGGCUUACCAACCCGAUGCAAACUGCGAAUACCGGAGAAUGUUAUCACGGGAGACACACGGCGGGUGCUAACGUCCGUCGUGAAGAGGGAAACAACCCAGACCGCCAGCUAAGGUCCCAAAGUCAUGGUUAAGUGGGAAACGAUGUGGGAAGGCCCAGACAGCCAGGAUGUUGGCUUAGAAGCAGCCAUCAUUUAAAGAAAGCGUAAUAGCUCACUGGUCGAGUCGGCCUGCGCGGAAGAUGUAACGGGGCUAAACCAUGCACCGAAGCUGCGGCAGCGACACUCAGGUGUUGUUGGGUAGGGGAGCGUUCUGUAAGCCUGUGAAGGUGUGCUGUGAGGCAUGCUGGAGGUAUCAGAAGUGCGAAUGCUGACAUAAGUAACGAUAAAGCGGGUGAAAAGCCCGCUCGCCGGAAGACCAAGGGUUCCUGUCCAACGUUAAUCGGGGCAGGGUGAGUCGACCCCUAAGGCGAGGCCGAAAGGCGUAGUCGAUGGGAAACGGGUUAAUAUUCCCGUACUUGGUGUUACUGCGAAGGGGGGACGGAGAAGGCUAUGUUGGCCGGGCGACGGUUGUCCCGGUUUAAGCGUGUAGGUGUGUGUUCCAGGUAAAUCCGGUUCACUUUAACACUGAGGCGUGACGACGAGGCACUACGGUGCUGAAGCAACAAAUGCCCUGCUUCCAGGAAAAGCCUCUAAGCAUCAGGUAACAUCAAAUCGUACCCCAAACCGACACAGGUGGUCAGGUAGAGAAUACCAAGGCGCUUGAGAGAACUCGGGUGAAGGAACUAGGCAAAAUGGUGCCGUAACUUCGGGAGAAGGCACGCUGACACGUAGGUGAAGUGAUUUACUCAUGGAGCUGAAGUCAGUCGAAGAUACCAGCUGGCUGCAACUGUUUAUUAAAAACACAGCACUGUGCAAACACGAAAGUGGACGUAUACGGUGUGACGCCUGCCCGGUGCCGGAAGGUUAAUUGAUGGGGUCAGCGCAAGCGAAGCUCCUGAUCGAAGCCCCGGUAAACGGCGGCCGUAACUAUAACGGUCCUAAGGUAGCGAAAUUCCUUGUCGGGUAAGUUCCGACCUGCACGAAUGGCGUAAUGAUGGCCAGGCUGUCUCCACCCGAGACUCAGUGAAAUUGAACUCGCUGUGAAGAUGCAGUGUACCCGCGGCAAGACGGAAAGACCCCGUGAACCUUUACUAUAGCUUGACACUGAACAUUGAGCCUUGAUGUGUAGGAUAGGUGGGAGGCUUUGAAGUGUGGACGCCAGUCUGCAUGGAGCCGACCUUGAAAUACCACCCUUUAAUGUUUGAUGUUCUAACGUGGACCCGUAAUCCGGGUUGCGGACAGUGUCUGGUGGGUAGUUUGACUGGGGCGGUCUCCUCCUAAAGAGUAACGGAGGAGCACGAAGGUUGGCUAAUCCUGGUCGGACAUCAGGAGGUUAGUGCAAUGGCAUAAGCCAGCUUGACUGCGAGCGUGACGGCGCGAGCAGGUGCGAAAGCAGGUCAUAGUGAUCCGGUGGUUCUGAAUGGAAGGGCCAUCGCUCAACGGAUAAAAGGUACUCCGGGGAUAACAGGCUGAUACCGCCCAAGAGUUCAUAUCGACGGCGGUGUUUGGCACCUCGAUGUCGGCUCAUCACAUCCUGGGGCUGAAGUAGGUCCCAAGGGUAUGGCUGUUCGCCAUUUAAAGUGGUACGCGAGCUGGGUUUAGAACGUCGUGAGACAGUUCGGUCCCUAUCUGCCGUGGGCGCUGGAGAACUGAGGGGGGCUGCUCCUAGUACGAGAGGACCGGAGUGGACGCAUCACUGGUGUUCGGGUUGUCAUGCCAAUGGCACUGCCCGGUAGCUAAAUGCGGAAGAGAUAAGUGCUGAAAGCAUCUAAGCACGAAACUUGCCCCGAGAUGAGUUCUCCCUGAGACUUUAGGUCUCCUGAAGGAACGUUGAAGACGACGACGUUGAUAGGCCGGGUGUGUAAGCGCAGCGAUGCGUUGAGCUAACCGGUACUAAUGAACCGUGAGGCUUAACCUUACAACGCCGAAG
rnacentral:rRNA from 1 species